rnacentral:rRNA from 1 species
ACGGAAGGCAGCAGUGAGGAAUAUUGGUCAAUGGGCGGAAGCCUGGACCAGCCAAGUCGCGUGAAGGAUGAAGGUAUUAUGUAUUGUAAACUUCUUUAGCAGUGGAGUAAUAAGGAGGUCGAGACCUCUGAUGCAAGUACACUGAAAAUAAGGAUCGGCUAACUCCGUGCCAGCAGCCGCGGUAAUACGGAGGAUCCGAGCGUUAUCCGGAUUUAUUGGGUUUAAAGGGUGCGCAGGCGGCCUUGUAAGUCAGCGGUUAAAUCGUGGAGCUCAACUCCAUCCCGCCGUUGAUACUGCAGGGCUUGAUUGCGGUCGAGGUUGGCGGAAUUCGUCGUGUAGCGGUGAAAUGCAUAGAUAUGACGAAGAACACCGAUUGCGUAGGCAGCUGACCAGGCCGUAAAUGACGCUCAUGCACGAAAGUGCGGGGAUCGAACAGGAUUAGAUACCCUGGUA